rnacentral:rRNA from 1 species
AGGGCACCACCAGGAGUGGAGCCUGCGGCUUAAUUUGACUCAACACGGGAAAACUCGCCCGGCCCGGACACUGAAAGGAUUGACAGAUUGAGAGCUCUUUCUUGAUUCAGUGGGUGGUGGUGCAUGGCCGUUCUUAGUUGGUGGAGCGAUUUGUCUGGUUAAUUCCGAUAACGAACGAGACUCUAGCCUACUAAAUAGAUCGCCGGUUUACAAACACCGGUGAGACUUCUUAGAGGGACAGGCGGCGAUUCAGCCGCACGAAACAGAGCAAUAACAGGUCUGUGAUGCCCUUAGAUGUCCGGGGCCGCACGCGCGCUACACUGAAGUGAUCAGCGUGCAUUUUAAGCCUACUCUGCCAAGAGUGGGAAACCCAAUGAACCUUCUUCGUGAUUGGGAUAGGGGAUUGUAAUUAUUCCCCUUGAACGAGGAAUUCCCAGUAAGCGCGAGUCAUAAGCUCGCGUUGAUUACGUCCCCUGCCCUUUUGUACACACCGUCCCGUCGCUACUACCGGUUGAUUGU